GCCCCUGGCGGAAUAGGCUCAUUACAUAAGUCUUGGUUUAUUACGAUCAUUACGCAUCAAAUGGAUAACUGUGGAAAAUCUAGAGCUAAUACAUUGCCGCGAAACUUCGACUUGCGAAGGAGUGCUUUUAUUAGAUCAAAGCCAAUGGCCCACUUGUGGGUCUUAUACUGUGCUGAUUCUGAAUAAAGUAAGCUGAUUGCAUUGCCAUUGAGUAGGUGACGUAUCUUUCAAGUGUCUUCCCUAUCAACUUUCGUUGGUACUUUAUAUGACUACCAUGGUCGUAACGGGUGACGGGGAAUCAGGGUUCGAUUCCGGAGAGAGAGCAUGAGAAACGGCUGUCACAUCCAAGGAAGGCAGCAGGCGCGCAAAUUACCCAAUCCUAGAUCGGGGAGGUAGUGACGAAAAAUAACGAUGCCGUGAUCUUAGGAUUCGGCAAUUGGAAUGAGAACAAUCAAAAUCCUUUAUCGAGGAUCAAUUGGAGGGCAAGUUCUGGUGCCAGCAGCCGCGGUAAUUCCAGCUCGAAUAGCGUAUAUUAAAUUUGCUGCGGUUAAAAAGCUCGUAGUUGGUUGUCAGGAGAUGAACUAGGGGCUACCAAAAUUGUGUAGUCAUACCCGAGAUUCGCUCCUUUAAAUACCACUCCUAUGUGACGCACUUUGAUGUGUGCUGCGUAUGGAUGGUAUGAUACUACUUUGAGAAAAUUAGCGUGCUCAACGCAGGCGAUUCGCUUGUAUACUGUUGCAUGGAAUAAUGAGAAAGGACCUCGGUUCUGUUUCGUUGGUUUCCGGAAGCUGAGGUAAUGAUUGAUAGGAACAAACGGGGGGCAUUCGUAUGUGUGUUAGAGGUGAAAUCUGUGAUCACCGCAAGAACGAACAACUGCGAAAGCAUAUGCCCAGGAAAUGGUUUUUUCAUCUU
rnacentral:rRNA from 1 species